UACGAAGGGUGCAAACGUUGCUCGGAAUUAUUGGGCGUAAAGCGCACGUAGGCGGCUCAGCAAGUCGGAUGUGAAAGCCCACGGCUCAACCGUGGAAGUGCAUCCGAAACUGCUGAGCUUGAGUACUUAAGAGGAUCGCGGAAAUUCCCGGUGUAGAGGUGAAAUUCGUAGAUAUCGGGAGGAACACCAGUGGCGAAGGCGACUCGCUGGACAAGUAUUGACGCUGAGGUGCGAAAAGCGUGGGGAGCAAACAGG
rnacentral:rRNA from 1 species